rnacentral:rRNA from 1 species
UACGUAGGGUGCGAGCGUUGUCCGGAAUUAUUGGGCGUAAAGGGCUCGUAGGCGGUCUGUCGCGUCGAAAGUGAAAACCCAGGGCUUAACCCUGGGCCUGCUUCCGAUACGGGCAGACUAGAGGUAUGCAGGGGAGAACGGAAUUCCUGGUGUAGCGGUGAAAUGCGCAGAUAUCAGGAGGAACACCAGCGGCGAAGGCGGCGCUCUGGGCUGGCACUGACGCUGAGGAGCGAAAGCGUGGGUAGCGAACAGG